ACUUUCUUAUAGAACCCAGACUACCAGCCUAGGGACGGUACCACCCACAAUGGGCUGGGCCCUUGCCCACCAAUCACUAAUUAAGAGAAUGCCUUAUGGAUGGAUCUUAUGGACACAUUUUCCCAGUUGAGGUUCCCUCCUUUCAGAUUACUCUAGCUUAUGUCAAGUUGACAUAACCUGGCCAGCCCACUAAGCAACAUCUUUGCAUGCUCCUCCAUUAUCAACAGCUAAGUGGUACCUUUGUUACAACUGAUGGACUCACAUUGACACUGUGAAAACUCUUGCUGCUGUACAUCCCGUAUAUCUGGACAAACCGACCAUGGCCUGCGUCUACCAUUACCAUGCAUGAUAGUUUCUCUACCCUGCAGUUCUCUGGUUUUCAGAGCUGUUUUAGAUUUUCAGAAAGAAAAAUGGUCCAUAAAUUACAGUGCUCACAUACACUCCCCCUACCGCUGCUGAAUUUACAGCUUCUCUUCUUGUGAAACUCCUGUGUUGGCACGAUAUAUUUGUCACAAUUAGGGCCAGUGUUCAUGUUCAGUAUUAAGUAAAGUUUGUGGUAUAUAUUAAAAGUCAUCCUUCCUGUUAGCAGAGUUCUAGGGCUCUAUAAAUAUGCAACAAUGUGUCUACCAUUUCUUCCUGGUUGCUCCCAUGAUUUGGAAAGUGUACAGAUGCUGUAAAAAUAUAAACAUUCCUAAACAAGUACAACAUCUCUUCCCCUGGAUGAAAACUCUGGAUAAUGUCCCUCUUUGUUCUCAAUGUGUGUAGUGAAGAAUCAGUAGGAACUGGCUUUGAACCCUGAUAAUAUAUUAUUGAGCAAAAUUGCCAUGUCUGCUUUGUCCUUUUAGAUUUUCUUUAAUAAAAGCCCAUCUGACAGGCUUUGGUACUAAGCCAUAGUUUUGCUUCUUCAUAGUAGCCAGGCUGUACAUUUCCUGUAUUCUGACAGCUUUGCAGACAUUCCCACUUAAGAUUAGAAAUACAAAAACAUGUACUACCGACAUGGGGGAGAGUCAGAAAAGAGAUCUCUUUCAUCUUAACAUAGUCAUUUCGUGCUGCCUUCUGUGUGAGUGGUUUAGCUAAAUCCAUGUUCUGAAACACGGGCUUUAUUUCCUAAUCAGUCCCUGGAGGGAAAUUGUUAGGUCUAGGGUGCUAAAUAUGAUGCCCUUCAGGCAGGGUUCCCCAUAAAAGAGAGCUUUCUUUCCGGCUUCCUCACAUGACACUGGAGAGAUGGCAGCGGGGGAGGGCCCGUGCUACCCCUCACCCUCGACAGCAGGGAUGGUGUGACGUGCCCUUCUCUGUGGCACCUGCCUUAUUGUGAUUGUUAGAUAUGCACAGUUCCUGCCUCCAUCACAUCUCAAACACACUGGCUUCUUCCUCCAAAUGGUUGAGUAAAAUUCAUGGGGAGAUUUUCUUUAGAAUCUUUUUUUCUUUUUUCCUCUAACGCAGCUCUGAGGCUGGUACCCCUUUCAUUGUACCGGGUCUCUAUGCCCAUAGUAUAUAAGAGUAUUCUAAGGUUUAGGAAUCCUGGACUUUCAUUUCCACUUUGUGAAGUCCAUUUCUAAAAUGGAGAAAACAAAUGAAAGAGAUGACAUAUGUAGCUCUACAAUUGUAUAUUUGGUUCCGUUGUCCCUAAAUCAGUUGGAAGUUGCUUUUUCAAACAUAGGACUGAGUUUUAUAGAGCUCUAAUUAUAUUACUUUGGCCAUUGUGUGAUUUGGGGUUUGUUGUGUGUAACUCCCAUUUUGAAGAUUUCAAUGUUCGCUGCGCUAAGACGUAGUUCUGGCCAAUGUGAAGAUCUAUUUAAUUUUGCCUCUCUGGUCUUAUCCGUACCCCCACCCCUGUAUUUUGCCUGGAGUUUAAUCAUCACUAAGAUACAGAUCCCCAUCAUUUCCCUAAUUCGAUUAAAUAUGCCAUUAGAAAAUGUAGGGCAUUAUAUUCAAUGUAAUACCCUCUGCAAACGUACUAUCUAGAAUCUCAUUGUUGGCAAUCAGCAUUAUUCACAGGUGUUUGUUUGUGAUCUUGGAAAUUGCUCUUUAAAGGGAGAUUAAAGGAGGCUAGGCUAGGGUAUAGGCUCAGUUGGUAAAGCACUUGUUUUGUAAGCAUGAGAACUUUAGUUCAGGCAGAUUUCCCCAGUAGCCACAGAAAAUGCCAGCCAAAGCAGCACAAGCUCCAUGGAGGCAGAGACUGAUCCCCCAGAGCUCAGCUUGCCAGCCUACCAGUCUAGCAGAAUCAAUGGGUUAUAGUUAGAGACCCUGUCUCC
rnacentral:lncRNA from 1 species